rnacentral:rRNA from 1 species
AUUGAACGCUGGCGGCAGGCCUAACACAUGCAAGUCGAGCGGAGCGGCGGACGGGUGAGUAAUGCCUAGGAAUCUGACUGGCAGUGGGGGAUAACGUCCGGAAACGGGCGCUAAUACCGUAUACUAUUAGAUGAGCCUUGGUCGGAUUAGCGAGUUGGUGGGGUAAAGGCCUACCAAGGCGACGAUCCGUAACUGGUCUGAGAGGAUGAUCAGUCACACUGGAACUGAGACACGGUCCAGACUCCUACGGGAGGCAGCAGUAGGGAAUAUUGGGCAAUGGGCGAAAGCCGGAUCCAGCCAUGCCGCGUGAGUGAAGAAGGUCUUCGGAUUGUAAAGCACUUUAAGUUGGGAAGCGUUACCCACACAUUAAGCACCGGCUAACUUCGUGCCAGCAGCCGCGGUAAUUC